UAUGUAGGGGGCUAGCGUUGUCCGGAAUCAUUGGGCGUAAAGAGCGCGUAGGUGGCCUCAUAAGUCCGCUGUGAAAGUCAAAGGCUCAACCUUUGAAAGCCGGUGGAUACUGUGAGGCUAGAGUACGGAAGAGGCGAGUGGAAUUCCUGGUGUAGCGGUGGAAUGCGCAGAUAUCAGGAGGAACACCAAUAGCGAAGGCAGCUCGCUGGGACGUUACUGACACUGAGGCGCGAAAGCGUGGGGAGCGAACAGG
rnacentral:rRNA from 1 species